AGAGUUUGAUCCUGGCUCAGGAUGAACGCUGGCGGUAUGCUUAACACAUGCAAGUCGAACGAAAUCUUCGGAUUUAGUGGCGGACGGGUGAGUAACGCGUGAGAAUCUGCCUUCAGGUCUGGGACAACCAUUGGAAACGGUGGCUAAUACCGGAUGUGCCUUCGGGUGAAAGGUUUACUGCCUGAAGAUGAGCUCGCGUCUGAUUAGCUAGUUGGUGGGGUAAGAGCCUACCAAGGCGACGAUCAGUAACUGGUCUGAGAGGAUGAUCAGUCACACUGGAACUGAGACACGGUCCAGACUCCUACGGGAGGCAGCAGUGGGGAAUUUUCCGCAAUGGGCGAAAGCCUGACGGAGCAAUACCGCGUGAGGGAGGAAGGCUCUUGGGUUGUAAACCUCUUUUCUCAAGGAAGAAGACAAUGACGGUACUUGAGGAAUAAGCAUCGGCUAACUCCGUGCCAGCAGCCGCGGUAAUACGGAGGAUGCAAGCGUUAUCCGGAAUGAUUGGGCGUAAAGCGUCCGCAGGUGGCUUUGUAAGUCUGCCGUUAAAGAGUCAUGCUCAACAUGAUCAAGGCGGUGGAAACUACUAGGCUAGAGUACGUUCGGGGCAGAGGGAAUUCCUGGUGUAGCGGUGAAAUGCGUAGAGAUCAGGAAGAACACCGGUGGCGAAGGCGCUCUGCUAGGCCGUAACUGACACUGAGGGACGAAAGCUAGGGGAGCGAAUGGGAUUAGAUACCCCAGUAGUCCUAGCCGUAAACGAUGGAUACUAGGUGUUGCUUGUAUCGACCCGAGCAGUACCGUAGCUAACGCGUUAAGUAUCCCGCCUGGGGAGUACGCACGCAAGUGUGAAACUCAAAGGAAUUGACGGGGCCCGCACAGGCGGUGGAGUAUGUGGUUUAAUUCGAUGCAACGCGAAGAACCUUACCAGGACUUGACAUGUCGCGAAUUUCCUUGAAAGGGGAAAGUGCCUUCGGGAGCGCGAACACAGGUGGUGCAUGGCUGUCGUCAGCUCGUGUCGUGAGAUGUUGGGUUAAGUCCCGCAACGAGCGCAACCCUCGUUCUUAGUUGCCAGCAUUGAGUUGGGCACUCUAGGGAGACUGCCGGUGACAAACCGGAGGAAGGUGGGGAUGACGUCAAGUCAGCAUGCCCCUUACGUCCUGGGCUGCACACGUACUACAAUGCGACGAACAAAGGGCAGCUACACAGCAAUGUGAUGCAAAUCUCAGAAAUCGUCGCUCAGUUCAGAUCGCAGGCUGCAACUCGCCUGCGUGAAGUCGGAAUCGCUAGUAAUUGCAGGUCAGCAUACUGCAGUGAAUUCGUUCCCGGGCCUUGUACACACCGCCCGUCACACCAUGGAAGCAGGUAGUGCCCGAAGUCAUUACCCCAACGAUUCGUCGAGGGGGAUGCCUAAGGCAGGACUGGUGACUGGGGUGAAGUCGUAACAAGGUA
rnacentral:rRNA from 1 species